GCCCGCUACAGAAACGUACAAAGGAAUUGACGGGGCCCGGCACAAGCGUGGAGUAUGUGGUUAAUUCGAUGCAACGCGAAGAACCUUACCUGGUCUUGACAUCCCGGAGACCCUUAGGAAACUAGGGGGUGCUUCCAUCUGGAAGAAUCUGGAGACAGGUGCUGCAUGGCUGUCGUCAGCUCGUGUCGUGAGAUGUUGGGUUAAGUCCCGCAACGAGCGCAACCCUUGCCUUUAGUUGCCAGCAGUUCGGCUGGGCACUCUAAAGGGACUGCCGGUGUUAAACCGGAGGAAGGUGGGGAUGACGUCAAGUCCUCAUGGCCUUUAUGACCAGGGCUACACACGUACUACAAUGGCCGAUACAAAGGGCAGCGACACUGCGAGGUGAAGCCAAUCCCGUAAAAUCGGUCUCAGUCCGGAUUGGAGUCUGCAACUCGACUCCAUGAAGUUGGAAUCGCUAGUAAUCGUGGAUCAGCAUGCCACGGUGAAUACGUUCCCGGGCCUU
rnacentral:rRNA from 1 species